UACGAAGGGAGCUAGCGUUGUUCGGAAUCAUUGGGCGUAAAGCGCACGUAGGCGGAUUGUUAAGUCAGGGGUGAAAUCCUGGAGCUCAACUCCAGAACUGCCUUUGAUACUGGCGAUCUUGAGUCCGGGAGAGGUGAGUGGAACUGCGAGUGUAGAGGUGAAAUUCGUAGAUAUUCGCAAGAACACCAGUGGCGAAGGCGGCUCACUGGCCCGGUACUGACGCUGAGGUGCGAAAGCGUGGGGAGCAAACAGG
rnacentral:rRNA from 1 species